GCAAAUGGACUGCAUCCAACAUAUUGACUCAGCAAAAGUCAAUGAAGGAGACGAAAAGGACGUAGAGCUACAAAAUCAAAGGGACAAAUCGAUAGAGGGACAAAGACUCCUAAUCCUCACCGAUGAGCAGCCGUGGAAACCAUGGAAACGGUCCCGCUCCUGGGUAAAAGAGUGUCUGGUGAGGGUCAGAUGUGUCAUGGGUUCCCUGAUGGGUAUGGAGUGGUACUGUUUCGCUACUCUCGGGGUUCUGACCGCUUUCCUUAGUUUUCUCAUGGACCUGAGUGUGGCAAAGCUGCUUCGAGCUCACCAGUGGUUGUAUAGUCAGCUGGAGGGCCACUGUCUCCUGCAGUUCCUGUGCUGGACCCUGUACCCAGUCUCACUCUCUGCUCUAUCCACAUCUUUCUCUCAAAGCAUCUGUCCAUUCUCAGCAGGUUCUGGGGUUCCAGAGGUGAGGACCAUACUGUCUGGUGUGGACAUGCCACAUUACCUGUCCCUCACCAACCUAUUUGCCAAAUACGUGGGUCUCAUCUGCACACUGGCAGCCGGCAGCACUGUCUUCCUGGGAAAAGUGGGUCCAUUUGUGCAUCUCUCCACCAUGGUGGGAGCCUAUCUGAACCAACUCUGCACUGUUCUCCGUGGUGAGAAGGAGGAGAGAACUGAAGGAGCGAUGCUGGUCGUGGCUGCUGCUGUCGGAGUAGCCAGCUGCUUCGGGGCCCCUAUCAGUGGUGUGUUGUUUAGUGUGGAGGUGAUGAGCUCUCACUUCGCCCUUAAAGAUUACUGCCCAUGCUUCUUUGCGGCAGCCUGUGGAGCGCUCACCUUCCAUCUGCUCUCCAUGUGGAGCGGCGAGCAAGAGACUCUUCAGGCCUUGUUUCAAACCAGCUUCUCAGAUGAUUUGCCAUUCUACCCACUGGAGAUUCCGGUCUUUGCAAUAUUGGGGCUUCUGUGCGGAGCAGGUAGCUGUGUCUACCUAUUCUGUCACCGUUGGAUACUGCUGUUCAUAAAGACAAACAAAAUCCUAAUCAAAGUCUUGUCGACUGAGAAGGCCCUAUACUCCGCUAUGGUGGUGUUCCUUCUGGCAUCUGUGACUUUCCCUCUUUCUGCUGGUCAAUAUAUGGCUUCCAAGCUCACCAUUAAGCAGCUCCUCUCUUCCCUCCUGGACAGCAGGCAGUGGACCUCUCAAUCCCACAAUGCCUCUGUGGUUUUGCAGCCAAACUUGUGUCCCUGGUCAGAGUGGAUUUCUUCAGGGAAUCCAUACCUCACUCUGGGAUUCUUCCUAUUCAUGAAGCUGUGGAUGCUGGUGUUGGCUUGCACCUUGCCCCUGCCAGCCGGAUACUUUAUGCCUGUCUUUAUCUAUGGUGCUGCUAUAGGACGUUUAUUCGGGGAAGGAUUGGCAUAUGUGUCCCUAAAUGGUGUCUAUUUAGACCAGAACAGGAAUCCAAUCAACCCUGGAGGCUAUGCACUGGCUGGUGCAGCAGCAUUCUCAGGGGCGGUCACACACACUCUGUCCCCUGCUCUCCUGGCUCUGGAGCUGACCGGCCAGUCCACUCACGCCGCACCCAUUCUCCUCGCCACACUGGUGGCCAAUGCCCUAGCACGCUCUGGGCAGCGGCCAUCCUUCUACGAUGCCCUCUCCAUCAGCAAGAAGCUCCCGCACUUACCCUCCCUGCUCAAGGUCUGCCCAAGGCUCUCCUCUGUCCCAAUAGGGAAGGUCCUGGGUCCUAGAGGUCCAGUGCUGGAGAGGGCAGCUGGGCCAACGCAGGUUCAGCAGGUUCUCAACACCUGCAGCCAGACACAGAUCCCUGUGGUUGACACACUGGACUCACAGAUUCUGCUGGGAUCAAUUAACAGAUCGGACCUGCAGACAUUUCUAUGCCACAACCACAAUAAGGUCAGUGGAUUGAUUCAGCCAGGAAACCAAGGAAUGCUAUGUAUUGAAGAAACAGUUGGUGGAUAUGUGUUCUAUUCAGCCUGUUUCUGUCCAGCUCUCUCCUGAUACCACUGUCCAGGAGGCUCAUGGCAUCCUCAGUGUGCUGUGUGGCGAGAGCUUGUUUGUGACUGAAAGGGGGAGGCUAUCUGGUGUUGUCACAUGGCCAGAGAUGAAGAGAAUGAUGGCAGAUUUGGCUGAUGACCUCUAAGCUAUUACCUACUCCCAACAAGGACCUAUCCCUAACUACGCCAAACAAUAUUGAUUCUCAUAAUACUAAUAAUGAUACUUUGUCUUAAUUUUGUAAUGAUAAGCUUUUUGCUAAUCACCAAUGUUAUUUUCUGCUGAAGGCUUUUUCAUAACAGUUAUUAGAGCUUAUUGAUAUGUCGUUAGGAGAUGUAACUCCCUUGCUGUUUUGGAUUAUCUUGUUUACUGACCCAGAGAUAUCUCUAAGGACACUGUGAUAUUCAAAGUAAUUACACGUCGUGCCCAAGAACAUCCCUUAGCCUUAGUGUGUUAUUUAUCAGAAUAUAGCAUGUGCUCUUAUGCCUUAUUGUGAGUUAGAGCAAUUUCAACCAAUAGUGGAUUCUGUGAUGCCGCAAACAACUUCUCUUCUGCUUCAGGCCAUUAUUUACUUAUCUGUUGCUCACAGCAAUUUUCUCCCUUCUGUUCAUGUCCUUUUUCGCUUUGAGCAGAAGGACCCAUUAUUGUUGUACAGGUCUGAUUUAGGGCUAGAUUCUAUGAGAUCCACGGUAGCUGACACACACAUAGUGGUUGUUUUGGCGGUGUAGCAGAUGGAACUGUGUUAGAGCUAUCAAAUCCACAAGCGGCUUCCGGUGUUAUACCUAAAGUGGACAUUGCCAUUGGCUAAAUGGAGUCGCAUUAAGAGAAAUCCCAUGCAGCCUUGUUUACAAGUUUGAACACUGGAAUCUACACCUCAAUUAGGCUGAUAGGAAUCCUCAUUAUUUUGUUUAAUGAUUUUCAAUUUGAUAUAUAGCCUACACUUUCUCGUUCUGAACUUCUAACGCGAGUGGGACGGGUCUUUCUUAGUGACAAUGACCCCACAAGCAGCUGCUCAGUGAUUUGACAGCUCUAACACAGUUACACCUCUGCCAUCUCCGCAAUUGUACAUUGUAUGGCUGCAACAGGGGAACAAAAGCACAGAGCCAAUGUGUAAUACAGCAUUGUGUAAAUGUCCAUUGAAAGAACAAGGGGCGAGAUAACGGUAAUAUUCUAGUCUCCCUUUAUCUCCCUGUCUCUCUCUCUUUCUUUCUCUCUCAUUAUCUCUUUUCCCUGGAUCCUUCCUUCUGCUCCCUCUUCCCUCUCUCCCUGGCAGACAAAUGUGAAUAAUGGCUAAUCAUAGAUGGGGACUCAGAUAAUUGGCUACACACAUUAUUUCUGCCACCCUACUCUCUCUCCCUCUCUCCUGUCUCAAGAGAGCUAUAGGAAGACCCUGAAUGGAGACAUUCUGGAGUGUAACGCUAAUUCAAGCUUGACAUUUCAUUGUGGCAAAUUUUUCUGAUUACCAUAUCUAUCUUUUCAGUCCAUCUAAUUGAAAUUGGAUUCAAUCAAAAACUGCAAUGUGUUCGAGCCACUCCACCAUACUUGUCACAUAAUUGAAUGUAUUAUGGUACAAUGUACACAAUAUAUACGCAAAGAAGAAUAGUGAUUCUUGACUGAUGUAUUUUCCUAUGUACAAUUCCAUGGUUCACAUGAUUUGACAAUUUACAAUGUUGUACAUUCAAAAAAGUUUAUCGAAGGCUACAGGUGGUUCUACGUACAGUGUAUCUGUGUCUAAAAACGGUACAUUUCAACUGAAAAUAAAAAGUCUCACUCA